rnacentral:rRNA from 1 species
UACGUAGGCAGCGAGCGUUGUUCGGAUUUACUGGGCGUAAAGGGCGCGUAGGCGGUCAGCGCAAGUCAGUUGUGAAAUCUCCGGGCUUAACUCGGAAAGGUCAACUGAUACUGUGCGACUAGAGUGCGGAAGGGGCAACUGGAAUUCUCGGUGUAGCGGUGAAAUGCGUAGAUAUCGAGAGGAACACCUGCGGCGAAGGCGGGUUGCUGGGCCAACACUGACGCUGAAGCGCGAAAGCUAGGGGAGCGAACGGG